rnacentral:rRNA from 1 species
UGGGGAAUAUUGCACAAUGGAGGAAACUCUGAUGCAGCGACGCCGCGUGAGGGAAGAAGAUUUUCGGAUUGUAAACCUCUGUCUUCGGGGACGAAAAAAUGACGGUACCCGAGGAGGAAGCCACGGCUAACUACGUGCCAGCAGCCGCGGUAAUACGUAGGUGGCAAGCGUUGUCCGGAAUUACUGGGUGUAAAGGGAGCGCAGGCGGGUUUGCAAGUUGGAUGUUUAAACUAUGGGCUCAACCCAUAGGUGCAUUCAAAACUGCAGAUCUUGAGUGGUGCAGAGGCAGGCGGAAUUCCCGGUGUAGCGGUGGAAUGCGUAGAUAUCGGGAGGAACACCAGUGGCGAAGGCGGCCUGCUGGGCACUAACUGACGCUGAGGCUCGAAAGCAUGGGUAGCAAACA